UUUUUUAUAACAUCUUGAAAAUAAAUGAUUUUAAUUUAAAUCCUGUCUGGUUUUCUAAAAAAUAAUUUAAAAUUAUUAAUAUGAUUUUUUUCUGUCGCGGUUGACUCAUCUCCUGAAAAUGCCGUGAGUUCUCGUCCUUCAGGACGAUAUUCUUUUGAG
rfam:Salmonella enterica subsp. enterica serovar Typhimurium str. LT2, complete genome.